GCAAACUUGGUCAUUUAGAGGAAGUAAAAGUCGUAACAAGGUUUCCGUAGGUGAACCUGCGGAAGGAUCAUUACCGUUGGAGGUUUCUCCAAUCAGGAUAGAACCCUUGCCUUUUGAGUACCUUCUCUGUUUCCUCGGUGGGCUCGCCCGCCGGUGGACAACCAAAAACUCUCUGUAAUAGCAGUAUCUUCUGAGAAAAACAAAUAGUCAAAACUUUCAACAACGGAUCUCUUGGUUCUGGCAUCGAUGAAGAACGCAGC
rnacentral:misc_RNA from 1 species